UCGCCGCCGCUUUAUUUCCAUAAAAGCGUCUCGUUUCACUCUGCCUAUAACGGUGGCCCACUCACGCCUGUUCCGUCUCGGCCGCUGACAGAGUAAGCACUGAAAUUUCCUCCGACUGCGUCCUCGCCUCUGCUAUCAAGUGCGUUGUUCGUGCUCACUUUUCGUCAACUAUCCAUUGGAAUAUUCACGAGAUUGAACCAUCACUGGAUCAGGAAACUAUUCCCAUUUACAGAAAUGUCUCUGACUGUUUGAUUUAUCUUUCAAGUGAAAUUUGGCAAGCUUUUGAUUGCACGGUGCUCUUCUGCGAAACUCUUCGAUUUCGAACUUGGAGCCCGUGUCGUACAGCGGAGCUGAUUCACCGAAUCCGAUAUCGAAUGCGUCAUUAUAUCGCUGAUUUUGUGUGCUUCCCGUUCUCGGAUUAAGUUUAUAUUUUGCCUGGAUAAACUCACAUGCUUUGAAAUACAGUACGUGAAAUACCGAGGACGGAGCCUGAUUUUACAGUGAACAGCAAGACCUAGAACUCACCGCUGAAAAAUCGGAAGUAACAGCUCAUUCAAGGUGACGUGCGUUUGCACCUAACCCGGGACUCCAGCCAGACACACACGUCGUUAUCGCGAGGAGAAAACCCGUCAGAGAGAGAGAAAAAAAAUCAGGAGAUCUCAAUACCGCGUGUUUGGUGCUGACUUGGAAGUUGGAAGUCAUAUUUAAAGUUUAAUUUCCCACGAAGAAUGUCUUGAACGUGUUUUUUUUUAGCUGUUGAAGGUGUGUGACAGAGGAUUGGAUAUUUAAAUUGAUAGACUUAAACGUGAAAGAAAACAUUUACAGAAAACAUUGAAUGACUGCCGAGUUAACCAUUGUUGGUAUUGGUAGUAUUGGGAAUAUUGUUUCACACGCAUUGCAGCCAUACUUUCUUUGAAUCUGUUUCCUUCUGUAUUGAUUCAACGUGAAUUUUGGAAAUUCAUACUGUGGGCCUACGCUGUCAUUAAACAUCUGGAAUAACUGCACUAUUGUACUAAAUAUUCUGAUGACAGUGUAAUAUUUCUUAUAUGGAAUGACUUGUGAUUGAUGUCAAUAUUUUGGAAAUUUUAACUUCUCUUAUGUCGAGAAACAACACUAAAUCUGCGUCAAUUGGUAUGGCCUAGUCGCGCUCGUAUAGACGUACGCAGGGAGAAAGGAACAUUUUGAGCCCGGCUUUUGGGGCUAACUCGUCACGGAUUUUUGAACGGAUUUAUAGGUAAGUUCCCAAUUUUACAUCCUUCUUUCGAAAUGCCAUGGAAACCAUUAAAUUUUGUCCCUAAGCCAAGCUAAAUUACGCCUAUUUUGUUAAAUGUAAAAAAAGUACUGAACUUUGAAAAGUUGGAAAGGCGUGUAGAAAUUUUGUUCACAAUAAGUCUUGGAGAAAGGCUAAAUGCAGGGGAUAGCAAGCUAUGCUCGAUUGGAGCAAGCGGGUCUGAUUAAUCAUGGUUGAACGAUGCAAGAAAUGCUCCGAUUGCGACGGAGAAACAGGGAAAUUGGAGAAAAGACGUGAAGAAAACGCCCGAAUGACGACGGAGGAGAGAGGGGAGAGCGAGGGACAGAUGCAGAUGGGGGGGGGGGGGGGGGUGAACGAGUUGAGAGAGAAGACUGAGCGAUGUUUCUAACGUUCGGCGCGGCAAAGACGCGCAAGAUAUUGCCAAGAACCUCUAACACGUAAAAUGCAGAAGAAGAAGAAGAAGAGAGAGAGAGAGAGAGAGAGAGAGAGAGAGAGAGUGAUUAAUGCACAUUCGGGGCUUUUCUUCACGUGAUUGCGAAAGAAAACUAAAGUAACUGAAACAGAAACUUUGUUCUAGGUUAGGAAGUGGGAACAGAGGCAAAACAUUCGCACGUUAUGAAAUGAAUAAAAGAUCAUUUGAGAAAGACAGAGAGAGAGAGAGAGAGAGAGUGAGCAAGAUUGAGAAGAGAUAUUACAGGCGCCAGACAAGAUAGAUUAAGGAAAGUAGUGAACAAUAGAUUUGGUCAUCAAAAUGAUCAUGGUACUUUGAUGAAAACAAAACAAAAAGGAUGUUAUGGAUUGAUAAUGCAGGAGCCUUCCAAGUUAGAGAGAGAGAGAGAGAGAGAGAGAGAGAAGAAGAGUGGGGAUGACUAGUUAGCUAGAGGGUGAGGGAGGGGGAGAGAGAAGUUGGGAUGCAAGAAGAGAGAGGUGGUGUAGAGAGAAGUCGUGGGAGAGCGUUUUAGUUUUACGAUGAGAGAGACUUCAGGAGAAGAAGAUAGAAGGGGAAAGAGUGAGAGAGAGAGAGGGAGAGAAAGAGAA